GCAAGAUAGAAAAGUCGUAUACGUUGACCGUUCCAGAGCUUGGUCGCAAGAUUUUUUCCAGUUGUAAAGGAGAAUCUGAACUACUUUUUCCGUCCACCUUGAUUAUCACUCCCUUUCUUUCCCAUUCGCAAAAUCCUCGAAUCUUCAAGAGGAUAGGUCUUUUGUCUUUCGAGUUCAAACCAGAACGCUUUCUUUACAGUCGACACAGCUCCGACUUACACAGAAAGAGCAGCUGUUUGAACGCAAUGUCUUUUGACACGUGAGUCUGGAGACAAUGGAAACCAGUGGUAGCAAUUCUAGUUCCAGUGCAAAUCGACCUACCAGACAAUCAAAUAAUUCCAGCACGGAGAAGACUAUUGAGGAAGAUAUCUUUGUUAAUCAUGCUGAGAUAGCAUGGCAUGAGAGAAGAAAACAAUGGGUUGGCGACCAUUCAAGAAAAUCACAAAGAGCACCUAGAGAACAGGCUAUGAGUUGGGAGCAGACGGGAGAAUCAACAUCAUAAUAAGGGGUGGUCUGGUUUAUGUAGAAACUUAUGGGGAAGUUUUGGUCGGAUAACUAGGAAAUUUGCAAGUUGUUUUGCAGCUUGACUGCUACUUAUGAGGAUCUCCUUUUAUCAUCUGAACCUUUCCAGCAGCCAAUAUCCUUAGCUGAGAUGGUAGAUUUUUUGGUUGACAUCUGGAAUGAAGAAGGCCUCUACGACUAGGUAAUUGGAAAUUGUAUAGCGGUUGGAAGAAUUUUGCAAUUAUGUUUGUGCAGAUUGUUGAUGGAGCAGCCACAUAGGUUAUACGGCCUUUUACCCUGCAGAUUGAUUUAGUGAUAUUAUAGUUGGUUAUCUUGUUCUAAUUUACUUAAGUUUAGGGACAUCUAGAUAAUUGUUAAAUCUUAUCCUGGCUUCUUAUGUACAGCUAAACAUUUGUGUAUUUGCAUAAUCAGUUUUGUCGUAAAGUUUCUUCUGAUUUUUGUUAAA